AUGCUCACUUAAGCAGCAAAUAUACUAAAACUGGAAGAUACAGAGAUUAGCACCACCCUUAUGUGAGGAUAACAUGCAAACUCGUGAAGCAUUCCAUAUUUUU